rnacentral:rRNA from 1 species
CCUACGGUGGGCUGCAGUGAGGAAUAUUGGUCAAUGGGCGCGAGCCUGAACCAGCCAAGUCGCGUGAGGGAUGACGGCCCUACGGGUUGUAAACCUCUUUUGCCGGGGAGCAACGGGCGCCACGUGUGGCGCCACUGAGAGUACCCGGAGAAAAAGCAUCGGCUAACUCCGUGCCAGCAGCCGCGGUAAUACGGAGGAUGCGAGCGUUAUCCGGAUUUAUUGGGCGUAAAGAGGGAGCAGGCGGCCUGGAGGGUCUAUUGUUAAAAGGCAAUGGCUUAACCAUUGUAAGGCGAAGAAACCGGCAGGCUAGAGUUCUAAAGAGGAUCGUGGAAUUCCAUGUGUAGCGGUGAAAUGCGUAGAUAUAUGGAGGAACACCAGUGGCGAAGGCGACGAUCUGGGAAGAAACAGACGCUGAGUCCCGAAAGCGUGGGGAGCAAAUAGGAUUAGAUACCCCAGUAGUC